UACGGAGGGUGCGAACGUUAAUCGGAAUCACUGGGCGUAAAGCGCGCGUAGGCGGUCUGUUAAGUGGGAUGUGAAAUCCCCGGGCUUAACCUGGGAAUUGCAUUUCAAACUGGCCGACUAGAGUACGGUAGAGGGAGGUAGAAUUUCCUGUGUAGCGGUGAAAUGCGUAGAUAUAGGAAGGAACACCAGAGGCGAAGGCGGCCCACUGGGCUGCACCUGACGCUGAACCGCGAAAGCCAGGGGAGCGAACGGG
rnacentral:rRNA from 1 species